rnacentral:tmRNA from 1 species
GGGGGUGAUUUGGCUUCGCUCUGGUAGUGGAUGUCGAAGAAGCGUGCCGAGGUCUCCAGUUCCUCGUAAAACACUGGAACUUAAAAUUAUCUGCAAACGAUAACUACGCACUGGCUGCCUAAGAAGAGAACGGCAGUCUGCUCCUUCAACUCUUGUUAGCGGAGUUGAAUGGAGUAUCAUAAUCAGCUAACUACUCUAUCACUGAAGCCUGUAGGUGAUAGGGGAAUCUUAACAGGCUAGGGGCUCAUGGGCGUGUCUGUAGGCGAGUGGGUCCCGAAAGAUGACUACAGACUACGCACGUAGAAACUUCGGCUGAAGCUGCUGGACACGCGGGUUCGACUCCCGCCACCUCCACCA